GACGAACGCUGGCAGCGUGCUUAACACAUGCAAGUCGAACGGAAAGGCCCUGAUUUUGUGGGGUGCUCGUGUGGCGAACGGGUGAGUAACACGUGAGUAACCUGCCCUUGACUUUGGGAUAACUUCAGGAAACUGGGGCUAAUAUCGGAUAGGAGCUCCUGAUGCAUGGUGGGGGUUGGAAAGUUUCGGCGGUUGGGGAUGGUUUGGCGGCUUAUCAGCUUGUUGGGGGGGUUGUGGCUUACCAAGGCUUUGAAGGGUAGCCGGCCUGGGAGGGUGAACAGCCACAAGGGUACUGCGAUAGGGCCCAGACGGCAACGUGAGGCAACAGGGGGAAACAUUACACAGCGAGCGGGAGCCUGAGACGACGACCCCGCGUGCGUAAAGACGGCUUUCGGGGUAAAAACAGCUGUCGCCGGAGACGAAGCGGGAUUGACGGUAAUGAGUAAAGAAGCACCGGCUAACUACGUG
rnacentral:rRNA from 1 species